rnacentral:lncRNA from 1 species
CAAGGAAGGUCGUAAAGUUUUUUUUUGUUUAAAGGUGGGGUUUUAGAGUUAGAUACUUAUAAUUUUUGUCAGAAGGUAUUGGGGCGUGGUUGGGUUUAUAAUUUUUGUCAAAAGGGAGGGUUAGAACUUAGAAUUCGUCCGCCAGCAGGUGGACGAAUUCGCAAUAUAUUCGCGGUCUUAGUCGCAAUUUUAAAAAAUACUUAUUCCCAGAGUUAGUUCAUAUUCGUCUAAUUAUCAGUAGUUUCUAUUGAUCUUGGUAGGUCAGUAGGUAACUACUGGGUCACUACCCCAGUGUGGACAUGUUUGUUUUUCUGAACAUGUUUUCAACGAAUAAUUCAUUGAUGGAAAGCUAUGAAAAAUAUCAUAUCAUCUAGGCCAUGGGUAAUCUUCAGGUCUAUUGCAGCAGCAGCAGCAGAGAAGAAUAUGAACAAAUGCAGGACACAUACCAACAUGUGUUGUAUUUUUCUGAAUGUUAAAGACGAGCAAUUCAACAUGACUAACUGUUUGAUGCCAAAGUAAGUCGGAACUCAACUCACUGUACGUACUCUAACACAGAUAACUGGUGCUGUUGCCUUUCAGCCACAGGCAGGAAAAUAAUUCUUUAGUUCAGAAAAUUGUAAGUUACAUUUUUUAUCUUGAACUACAAUGUC